rnacentral:lncRNA from 1 species
CUACAGCCCUUGGCACCGCUUAACAACUUAAGUGAAUUGAACAAUUGCUAACAAUUACCUUCCCUAAACCCUAACAGCCGUCAAAAAUUCUUUCUCAGCAUCUGGGUGACCCAACCAGAAUGAAACAUCCUGUCAACAAUAUCCUGUUGUGGCAGAAAGCGCUCUGUUACAGGUCCUUACAGCUGCUAACAGUCCCUAGAAUCAGACAACUGUUAACUUAAAAAAACCUAACAGCCGUCAAAAAUUCUUUCUCAGCAUCUGGGUGACCCAACCAGAAUGUAACAUCCUGUCAACAAUAUCCUGUUGUGGCAGAAAGCGCUCUGUUACAGGUCCUUACAGCUGCUAACAGUCCCUAGAAUCAGACAACUGUUAACAGUGUGGGCUCCAGGUACAUGUCAGUCACAGGGCCUAACAGGACCAAACAGCCUCUAACCCAGUGUCUAACUGGCUGUUAUGCCACGUUGACAACUAUCGUCAGCAGCUGAUAAUGAGCCCGGCUGACAGCCCCGCCUAAGAAGUUAGCCGCUGUUAGACCCCCUAUGAGUUGGUAGGGGUGGCGGAGCCGUUGUAGUCUAGUUUUCCACUGCAAGUCCUGUCCCACAGUGGAACUACAUGGAUCCCACAGCCACGCCCAGGCGUACCCGGUUAUCCUAAUAUUUUGUGAUAAACGUUUAACCUUGCAAGUUCAAGUCGAACAACACAACUACGCGCGUCUGUUGUUCGUUACCCACCACCGCACCCAGUCGUCCCCAUGGCCUGAUGGCCCAGUAUCCGUGUGUCCCCGCCCACAUGUUCAUGGUACACAUGCACGCGUCCACGCUUCAUGCACACGCCCAUGUUACAUCCUCAUGUCCCGCGUCCACGUGUCCACGCGUCCAUGCUACAUCCACGUGUGGCUACAUCCACGGUGCCACGGUCCCAUGUGCCCACGUGCCCACACGCUCACGCGUCCAUGUGCCCUUGCAUCCUCGCGUCCUCACGUCCUGGUGUCCUCGCGUCCUCGCAUCCUCGCGUGCAACUCGCGUGCGACCCGUGAUUUGAACCCGCGACCUGUCGUCCUCGCGUCCUCGCGUUUCGGUGUGCAACUCGAAAUUCGCGGAGUGCGACUCGAACCCGCGACCUCUGAUUGUGAAGAGGGGGCGCGCUAACGGAAAACGCAAAGCUCCGGAACCAUCCAAUCGAGCGCGACUUUCCAAUGAGCUCCGGACGCGAGCCGGUCACGGACGCGAUUCAGAGAUGCCUUCCCUCCGCUUCGCUCUUCGCUGCGCUACGAGAAGCUACGGUGACAGCAUCCACACCAAAUGCUUGCCCAUGCAUCCGUGAUAAAUGGAUGCUGCAGAGAUUCUGUAAAGAAUCCGCAACUCUUUGCUAAUAAUAAUCGUAACCUGCAUGCAUAAUAUGUGUGAAUUACGGUGUGCAUCAGCGAUGAAAGGGUUGAGAGUCGCUAGUAGUCAACAGUUAUUUUAAUCUGUAUAUGCACCGGCAGCCCCUAUAUCCGUGUUGCCUAACUACCGACAUCAUCCACCAGUACUGGAACACGGUUUCGAUGUUUGUUCGACCAACUCACAUUCCAGCACCCUAUUAGAAGUCAUCCGCCCCACUUUUCGAGUUUUUUGGACAGUUUACCAUGAUACAUGGCCAGAUAGAAAGCUGGCUAAUGUCAGUUGCAUUUGCAGGACCAUUUUUGCUCCAUGCCAGAUUUGAACCUGCAACCUUGUGAUCACAAAUCUUUGUCCUUUAAGAGAUGGCUUAUCUGCCGAUGUUGAGAUCACCAGGUUACAUUCUACAAGCUCCACGCAAGUGUGGGGCCGUCUGUAAAAGCCGGGGCCUCAUGGGAGUGGACAUCAAUGGCCAUUAUUGUGGUGCCGGUCGCGAGUGAGGCAGUUUAUUAACAUCCUCUCCCGCUUGC